AGCCUUAAGAUAUUAUUUUAGGUGAAGCCUGCCCAGUGCUAAUUGUAAACGGCCGCAGUACCUUGACUGUGCUAAGGUAGCAUAAUCAGUUGGCUUUUAAAUGGAGUCGGGAAUGAAUGGAUUUAUAGGGUUAAGCUGUCUCUAUUAUACUUAUUUGAAUUUACUUAGUAGGUGAAAAUUCCUACAUUAAGAAAAAAGACGAGAAGACCCUAGGAGUUUUUACUAAUGCUAACAUGAGUUAGUUAAUGUUUUUGUUGGGGCGACAUAGGAGAAGUAUUUAACCUCCUUUAUUUACUUGCCGACUCAGUAUGGGCGAAUAAACUACCCUAGGGAUAACAGCGUAAUUCUUUUAGAGCUUGCGACCUCGAUGUUGGACUAGGAAUUUGAUAGGCUAGCCGCCUAUUUAUAUUGUUCUGUUCGAACUAUUUCUCCUACAU
rnacentral:rRNA from 1 species